rnacentral:lncRNA from 1 species
CUAAACGUGAUUAUUUGUCUCAGCCUAAACUUGAUGCAAAUCACCUUCUGGGAGGCAGAUUUGACCUUUGAAAAAUAGAAAGAUGAUUGAAUGUGAAGUCUGGUCCCUAAGGUAACAACAAAUUAUACAACAGCAGAAUGCCCCUGGAAGAAGUGGAAAAUGAGGAAGUUUUGUCUUCAAAGAAGAGGAUAAACUUAGAAGUGUGGUGAUAGACACCAGGGUCCCAGAAGCUAAGAGAUGUCUUUUGGAGUAUGCCACUUUCCCUCAAAGAGUCAGCAGCCAGACAGAAUGAAACCACAAUGUCUGGCCUUAGAAUGUGGACCCAGCAAUCUCACGGUGCUCAUCUGUUUCUUGACUUCCUUUUUCUGUGAGAAGAUAGCAAGGACUUUGCUGACCAUGAGAGAGAUAAGCGGAGGUCAUUGUUUGGAAUCCUUUUGCUAUGAUUUUCUAACAUAUUGGGCUUAUAAAACCCUAAGUGUGUUUUUGCCCCAAGUACUUUUCUUAUUUUUUAAACCCAUAUGUAUUUUGAAGUCAAUUUAAUCCAUAUGUUUCUGAUUAAUUUAUGCUUAGCUCAUCAAAAUGUUGUUUUAAGAAGAAGGCUUAUUAAAAAAACAGAGUCAUGCUUCACCAGCCACUGAUGAAAUCAACUCCAGAAGACUGUGCCUUAGUCACAAAAUCAGAUGGGCUAAGGGUACAAGGGGACAAUGGGUUCCAAAGUUGGGAAACUCACUGUUGUGAUCUUAGGAAGACUAUGUUCAAAUACUUGGGCAGGUGGGGAGGGGGAGCUUAGAUUUUGGAGUCUGGAGUGUAUUUAGUUUUCAUUUCUGGAUGUAUUUAUUUGUUCCUUGUAUUAACUAUGAUCCCUAUACUUAGUUGUUCAGAAAGCUUCCAGGUUGUUCAUAAAACUAUUAAUAAGUAGGAGGAAGCUGGGAUAUGGUAUAAAAUGAGGAGUCUAUUUCUAUAUGUGAUUGUGUUUUUGUCAGUUGAAAGGCAUCUCUGUAGAAUGGUUCAUGGGAAUUUUAAGAGACAAUGUAUAUAUUUUACCUACUUGGGCCAUAAAGAUGGAAUUAUGGUGUAUGGAUCAUAAAGAUAGAAUUAUGAUGUAUGUCUCUGUCACUAUAUUGAGAAUUGGAAACAAAAUGGUUUUCAAAAUAAUUCAUUGUUUGAGAUAACCUGUAUCUUAGAAAAAUCCUAAAAGGUAAUAAAUAUGGGGGCUUUAUUCCAGAGUUGAAAUUUAGAUAACUUUUUUUUCUUAAUAUCAGAACAGUUUCAUGGAAGUCUUAAACAAGUUUCAAUAAAAUUAAAUUUUGUCUACUUUAUUUGAAUGUUCCUUCAACAUCACUCACUAAUAGAUUAAAAUCAGCAACCCUACCUCUCUGAUCUAUAGAUAUAAUUUUGUCUGCUUUCUCCCUCAAUGUUGGUUUCAGCCUUAUUUUUCUGUUCUUUUUAUUUCUCACAUACUCUUUGAGUGAUCUUAGCCACUCCAAGUUUCGAUGGCCAUCCAUGAACUAAUGACAUCUAAAUUAUAUUCAGACUUUAGUCUUCUCUCUUAUGUUCUAGACUUGUGUAUCCAAAUGCUUCUAGUUAAAAGUCCAGUGGAAUAAAAAAGGUGAACACGCCCCAAACAAAACUGAACUUCAUUUCUCAAAUUCCUCUUUCUCUUCCCCUGCCUUGUCCUAUAAUCCCUGUUGUGAUUCC